CAGAGUCAGGAGCACCAGUAGAUUCUUGAGAGAGCAGCCAGUAAUGGGCCAGCAUCAAAGAAGCUGAUGAGGGACUUUUUGCACCCCCACACCUAAAGCAAGAAGAUAUUGAGGGCCCAGACUAAUUACUUCUUUAUUCUAUUCUGGGAUGUCUUCAGAAAUCCUUUCUUCGUGAUGUGCAAUGGAUGCUAUCAUUUCAGUCACCAUGAUGUCGAAGUGGGAAUCGAUAUUUGAGGGGAGGGAAAUAUCCCAACCCUGACCAUCUACUGAACAAUGACUCACCAAUAGCUGCACAACAGUCAGGACAGAGGUGACAAUCUAUCUAAUCACCAGGACCCAAGGAAAGCCAGUACAGUUAGUGCUAGAAAAGGAAUCCCUUCUUUCAGUGCUGGAAUUGAC
rnacentral:lncRNA from 1 species